UACGUAGGGGGCGAGCGUUGUCCGGAAUUAUUGGGCGUAAAGAGCGUGUAGGCUGUUCGGUAAGUCUGCCGUGAAAACCUGAGGCUCAACCUCGGCGUGCGGUGGAUACUGCCGGCUAGAGGACGGUAGAGGCGAGUGGAAUUCCGGUGUAGCGGUGAAUGCGCAGAUAUCGGAGGAACACCAGUAGCGAAGGCGCUCGCUGGCCGUCCUGACGCUGAGACGCGAAGCUAGGGAGCGACAG
rnacentral:rRNA from 1 species